CACGUCAUGCACAAUAGAAGAAGUUAUAGACAAUGGAAGUUUGGUGCAAAUCCAACGCGGUCCCGCCACUGUAAUAGGCCGAUGAGCUCGGUCUUAAGUCAGGUCUUUUGUCUAGUAACUUUG
rnacentral:ncRNA from 1 species